ensembl:lncRNA
AUGUGUGUCGAGAGCAAACACACACACACACACACACACACACACACACACAGAAUGACCCACGAGAAAGGGAAAGGGGAAAACACCAAUCCUGCGCUGGGCUUUUUCGACUUUUCCUUUAAAAAGAAAAAAGUUUUUCAAGCUGUAGGUUCCAAGAACCGGCAGGAGGGGGGCGAGGCGGGGUGGGGGGGUGUACAGAAAAGGCGCCUGGUCGGUUAUGAGUCACAAGUGGGUUAUAAAAGGGUCGCACGUUCGCAGGCGCGGGCUUCCUGUGCGCGGCUGAGCCGGGGCGCAGCGCGACGGUCCCAUCGGGCGGCCUCCACCCUCGGGACGCGAGCGGAGCGCCGAGCCCAGCGGCGAUCACGCGACGCGGGGAAGGAAGGAAGGUGGCGCAAACCAGGAAGGGGAAAUCUGUGGUUUACGUUCUCUGUGCCUCAUCCCUCUCGGAGAGCUGGAGGCUUGCUGGAGGCUAUAUGCUGUUAAUGCUAAUUGUGAUAGGGGUUUUUACCUCCGUCUGACUCCUACAUGUUAGCAUUAACAGGGUAUGAUGCCUGUUACUAGCAUUCACAUGGAACAAACUGCUGCUGUGGGAGGAUGACAAAGAAGUGUGAGUCACCCUGCUGGAUAAACUCAGACUUUAAGCUUUAUUAUUUUUUGUUAAUCAUAAUCUGGUCACUGGGAUGUUCCACCUGAUAGUAAGUCUUAAGAAUAAGGUCUUGUAAAAGAUUUAUCAAUGGUAUCCUGAAAGCAAACUUUUUUACUUUAAUCCUGAAGCCCACAUAUUUUUAAAAAAAAAUCUUUAAUGGAAAAUGUAUUCCUGUCCUUUUUAAUUCACAGUUAUGGUUUGUUCAUUAUAACUGUUUAUAAACUUUGAAUAAUUUAACUGGAAAGAAAUAUAGACUAAACACAUUCUGAGUAUCUUUGCAGUUAAAAAUUAGGACUACUAUCCACUAAUUAAUCAUGGAUUGUUGGGAAAUAUGUUUAAAAAGAUUUAGAAAUAGGUAUUCCCCCCAUGUAACAAUUCUAUUUAGACAACUUCAGUUUCAAAUGGAUACUUUUAUAUGAAUCUUAAAGUAGACUUGAAAGGCUAUGGCAAUUAGUUUUUAAAAAAUGAAAGAUUUCAUUCUUUUUUAUGGCUGAGUAGUAUUCCAUUGCAUAUAUAUACCACAUAUCCUUAAUCCACCCAUUCGUCUGUCACUGGACAUUUAGGCUGUUUCCAUUUGCAGCAACAUGGAUGCAAAUAGAGAUUCUCAUACUAAAUGAAGUUAAGUCAGAAAGAUAAAGACAAAUUCCAUAUGAUAUCAGUUACAUGUGGACUCAAAAAUAUGGCACAAAUGAACCUAUCUACAAAACAGAAACAGACCCACAGACAUAGAGAAUAGACUUGUGGUUGCCAAGGGGGGAGGGAAGAGGGAGUGGGAUGGAUGGGCAGUUUGGGGUUAGUAGAUACAGACUAUUACAUUUAGAUUAGAUGGGCAAUGAGGUCCUACUAUUCAGCACGGGGAACUAUAUCCAGUCUCUUGGGAUAGACCAUGAUGGAAGAUAAUAUAAGACAAGGAAUGAAUAUAUACAUAUGACUGGGUCACCCUGCUGCAAUAGCAGAACUUGCCACAACGUUGUACAUCAACUAUACGUUAAUAAAAAAAUCAAAAAGAUUUUUUUAAAAUUAGUA